AGAGUUUGAUCCUGGCUCAGGACGAACGCUGGCGGCGUGCUUAACACAUGCAAGUCGAACGAUGAAGCCUAGCUUGCUAGGUGGAUUAGUGGCGAACGGGUGAGUAAUACGUGAGUAACCUACCUUUAACUCUGGGAUAAGCCUGGGAAACUGGGUCUAAUACCGGAUACGACCAAUCUCCGCAUGGGGUGUUGGUGGAAAGCGUUAUGUAGUGGUUAUAGAUGGGUUCACGGCCUAUCAGCUUGUGGGUAGGUAACGGCUCACCAAGGUGAUGACGGGUAGCCGCCCUGAGAGGGUGACCGGCCACACUGGGAUUGAGACACGGCCCAGACUCCUACUGGAGGCAGCAGUGGGGAAUAUUGCACAAUGGGCGCAAGCCUGAUGCAGCGACGCCGCGUGAGGGAUGACGGCCUUCGGGUUGUAAACCUCUGUUAGCAGGGAAGAAGAGAAAUUGACGGUACCUGCAGAGAAAGCGCCGGCUAAUUACGUGCCAGCAGCCGCGGUAAUACGUAGGGCGCGAGCGUUGUCCGGAAUUAUUGGGCGUAAAGAGCUUGUAGGCGGUUUGUCGCGUCUGCUGUGAAAGGCCGGGGCUUAACUCCGUGUAUUGCAGUGGGUACGGGCAGACUAGAGUGCAGUAGGGGAGACUGGAAUUCCUGGUGUAGCGGUGGAAUGCGCAGAUAUCAGGAGGAACACCGAUGGCGAAGGCAGGUCUCUGGGCUGUAACUGACGCUGAGAAGCGAAAGCAUGGGGAGCGAACAAGAUUAGAUUCCCUGGUAGUCCAUGCCGUAAACGUUGGGCACUAGGUGUGGGGGACAUUCCACGUUUUCCGCGCCGUAGCUAACGCAUUAAGUGCCCCGCCUGGGGAGUACGGCCGCAAAGCUAAAACUCAAAGAAAUUGACGGGGGCCCGCACAAGCGGCGGAGCAUGCGGAUUAAUUCGAUGCAACGCGAAGAACCUUACCAAGGCUUGACACAUACUGGACCGCAUCAGAGAUGGUGUUUCCCUUCGGGGCUGGUAUACAGGUGGUGCAUGGUUGUCGUCAGCUCGUGUCGUGAGAUGUUGGGUUAAGUCCCGCAACGAGCGCAACCCUCGUUCUAUGUUGCCAGCACGUUAUGGUGGGGACUCAUAGGAGACUGCCGGGGUCAACUCGGAGGAAGGUGGGGAUGACGUCAAAUCAUCAUGCCCCUUAUGUCUUGGGCUUCACGCAUGCUACAAUGGCCGGUACAGAGGGUUGCGAUACUGUGAGGUGGAGCUAAUCCCUAAAAGCCGGUCUCAGUUCGGAUUGGGGUCUGCAACUCGACCCCACGAAGUCGGAGUCGGUAGUAAUCGCAGAUCAGCAACGCUGCGGUGAAUAAGUUCCCGGGCCUUGCAC
rnacentral:rRNA from 1 species